UAUAAACUCAGUGGGAGAGAGGCAGGAUUCCACACCUGAUACAGUUUGUACUCUAGUUGACUGGGAACAGAGAUACUGUGCUGACCUUUAGGUGAAGUUAACUGAAUGAAUUUUACCAAAAAGCCCCUGUUAUCUGUGACUAACCAGGUAGCCUUACAAUAACCAUGAAGGCAUAGAUUUUUUUUCUUUCACAGGCCUGUUCUGGAAGCAUGAAGUUUAUUCACACAAGCUACUGCUGCUUCUAUCAUUCGAAAAGCUUCCCAGCACUGGCCUGACAUUUCAAGCACCAUCCAAUGACGCAGAUGUGUCAAGCUCCAUGAGAGGGCGUCGGCAUCUCCAUCCGAUCGGAGCCUUGGCAUCUGAAUGAGUCAGUGCGCCGGAUGAGCGAAGGGGCGGGUUACUCACCCGCCGAAGAAGGGAAGGACAGAGCCGCGUGGCGUGAGCCCGGAGCCCGGAGGCUGUAGUGCCUGCUGGAAGUCCACCCCUGGCAGUACUGCUCAUCUGGAGCAGGGGCUUGGCCUGGAGGCCUACUCUCCCUGGGAGGACCGGGGUUUCUGCUGGCUUUCCACGUCUCUUUAAAACAGCAGCACCCGAAGAGCUGGGAGAAGCUGCUAAAUAGGCCCAAUUAAGCCAAUAAAGAGAUGAUUCAGGUCAUUAAGGUCAUUAACAGCUGGACUGAAA
rnacentral:lncRNA from 1 species